AGGGGGAAGAGGUUUACAUCAUAGGGCCACGUGGUCCUCAGACCCCUGCUUUCCACAGAGGGGUAGCUGCCUGGGUAGACUCUGUGAUUUGUCUCUCCUAGAACACCAGUGUUUGUUUUAAAAUCCCUAACAAGACCCUUCCUGGAUUAAAAUGAUCAUGAUGCAGGUAUAAUACACUAUUAGAAAGCCUGAAGGUCAUUUAUUCCCUUUAUGGCAGGGUUUUCCAGAGUGGCUCUCUGUAAAGAAAGCUGCCCCCAAAGCUUUCAAAAGGGACUUUGAUUGAUGUUCAAAAAGCCACAUUGUCCACAAAUGUUCAUCAAAUGUCUCUUGGGUGCUGCAUAGCAUUCUAGCCCCUGGACUCCAGAGGUGCCCUUGAGAGAGUGAGCUUCAGGCAAAUAACAAGUCAAUGAGCCAUUUUAGCUGGUGAUAAAAAGGAUAAAAUAAGACGAUGUAGGGGUGAGGACCUGGGGUGUCUGGGCUCCACAGAAGUGACACUGAUAGGGAGGAGGCAGCCUUGGCAAUGUCUGGAGGGAGAAUGCUCCGCAUGGGAGAUGCAUAGUGCAGAAGCUUUGUGUGGUUGAGGGGCAUUAAGGAAGAGGGAGCUUGGAGCGUGAUGAACAGCAUCCAGUGGGGGCAGGGUGUAUCAUGAGUCUUGUGGCCAAGGUUUGAGUUGGGAUUUUUACUGCGGGCAAAGGGAAGCCACUGGAGGGUUUUUACGCAAGAAGUGGCGUGAACUGAUUUACAGUUUGAACAUCCCCAUUGUGCUAUGUAGAAGGUGAGCCUGGGAAGAGAGCUUGAUACAUGGUGUUGCCAUAGGAUUUGGAUUAAACUGGUUGCCAGUGGAUUUCUUUGAUCCUUUGUAUAAAAGAGAGAAUGGGCCUCCCCCCAUGUAACAGGGUCUCUGGGCCAGGCCAGGAGGCACACCGGGGGAAAAGGAUGCCAGGAACCUGGCUGGAGGGCUGGCCCCUGAGUGGGUAGAACCCAGAAUCCAAGCCUUUGCCCCUAGGAGGGGAGCACUGAAACCCCAGAGAGGGAAGGAUCUAUCAGAGUGAGUGUGUUUAGCACCUCUGGCCCUUUCUCGUGUUAUCUCAGCAAAUCUUGAUAAGUGCCUCAGGAUGAGAGUAUGUAUCUGUUAUCUAUUGCCAUGUAACAAAUUACCCCCCCCCACACACACACACAUGUACUGGCUUAAAACAGCAGACAUUUCUCACCAUUUCCCUGGGUCAAGAAUUCAGGGGCGGUGUAAUCAGGAGGUUCCCCUUCAAGGUUUCCCAUGAGGUUGGGGUUGUGGGCAGCUGGAGGAUCCAUUCCAAUAUGGCGCCCUCAUAUGUUUGUUGGAUGGAAGCUUCAGUUCUUCACAGGCAGGCCUUUCUUCGUGAUGUGGCAGCUAGCUUCUCCAGAGCGGGUGGUCCAAGGGCAAGAGAGGGGCCAGGCAGGAAGCCACAGUGCCUUUUAUGACUAGGUCUCUGAAGCUGCACACUGUCACUUCUGUCUUUUUCUAUUAGUUACAAGCAAGUCACUAAGCCUGGUGCACACUCAAAUGGUGGGGAACUGGGCUCCACCUCCUGAAGCAAAGAACAUCAGAGAAUUUGUGGACAUAUUUUGAAAUUACCCAUCGCAGGUUGCGAGUCUUUAAUUGAUCGCCCCAAGGCACACUACGAGGAAGUGGCAGGAGUAGGGUUAGAAGCCAGGUCUCCAGUGCCUGCAUCUUUUGUCCUGUGCCAGGCUGCUGGGGUAGGAGCUCCCAGCUCAGCCAGCUGCCACACUGCUUGUAGAGUCCACAGGCCUCACCACAGCUCCCGAGAAGACGUGUGUCAGUGAGGACGCUCAGACGGGUUGGUCACAGUGGCUCCUCAGGCCUGUCUGCUCUCUCUGGCCAUGGUGGCUGCUCUCCUGCCAGGAUCCUCCGGCCUACAGAGCUGCCUGUCACAGGAUCAGAUCGCUGGGCCUGGCUCCCUGGUUCCUCAGCCGCCCGGCUUGCGGUCAUUUGCCAGGCAGUUACCGGAAAGUCACUCACGUGCUGUUGUCAAGUCUGGGCUGCUAGGAAGCAGACUCGGAGACAAGCAUACGUUGGCCACAGAUGCCUGAUGGCGUGUUACGCAGCAAGGAUUACGCACGGCACCUGGGGUUGAAUCAGGAGAAUCUUGCUGCACGAGUUUGCUCGCAGCUGGACUCCCCACAAUGUUCCAUCUCCUGGGCUUUUGCUGGCUCCACGGGCCCUGCUGGGGUCCCAGUGGUGGCCGAACAGAGCUCGGCCCCACCCAGCAUCUUCAGUCAACCCGCUGCAGGCCUCGCCACACGUGCAGGUGAGGCUGAGUAAAUGGGGGUGAAACCCACCCAGACAUCUCACCUCCUGAGAGGAGUGGUGGGUUCAGGAAGGGCAUGAAGCCCAUCGGACUCAAGCUUUUGCUGGGACUUCUAGGAAGGAGCCUCCUGCCACCACUGUCCUGCAGCCGCCUGAGACCGGCGACCAAAGGGGCCCAGGCUGAGGGGCAGAGAGAAGCCAAGUUUUGAUUGUGUGAUUUGAAAUCUUGAAGCCUGGGGUGUCUGAAGCCAGUUCUACCUGUGGACUCAGACCUGGCUACGUCCCCUGUGGGGCCUCUUGUUCCAAACGCAGGAGCAAAGUACCAUGAGAAGUAUUAUAAAAGAAAGGUGUGUUUUUUUUCUCUCUUCUGUGGCCUCUGUCAACUUCUCGUGGCAUUUUUAAACGUGCUGUUUAA